GACGGCCGUACCAUGCUGAAAAUACCGGUUCUCGUUAGAUCACCGAAGUCAAGCAUCAUUGGGCGCGGUCAGUACUUGGGUGGGUUGG
rnacentral:rRNA from 1 species